CUGGCGGCUGUAGCGCGGUGGUCCCACCUGACCCCAUGCCGAACUCAGAAGUGAAACGCCGUAGCGCCGAUGGUAGUGUGGGGUCUCCCCAUGCGAGAGUAGGGAACUGCCAGGC
rnacentral:rRNA from 15 species